GAUGAACGCUGGCGGCGUGCUUUACACAUGCAAGUCGAACGCUGAAGCCCCUUCGGGGGCCGAUGAGUGGCGAACGGGUGAGUAACACGUGGGUAACCUACCUCGCACAUCGGGAUAAGCCCGGGAAACUGGGUCUAAUACCGAAUAUGACUUAUCACCACAUGGUGGUAAGUGGAAAGUUCCGGCGGUGCGAGAUGGACCCGCGGCCUAUCAGCUUGUUGGUGGGGUAAUGGCCCACCAAGGCGACAACGGGUAGCCGGCCUGAGAGGUGUCCGGCCACACUGGACUGAGAUACGGCCCAGACUCCUACGGGAGGCAGCAGUAGGGAAUUUUGCGCAAUGGGCGAAAGCCUGACGCAGCGACGCCGCGUGAGGGACGACGGCCUCGGUUGUUAACCGUAC
rnacentral:rRNA from 1 species